rnacentral:rRNA from 1 species
UACAGAGGUCUCAAGCGUUGUUCGGAUUCAUUGGGCGUAAAGGGUGCGUAGGCGGCGCGGUAAGUCGGGUGUGAAAUCUCGGAGCUUAACUCCGAAACUGCAUUCGAUACUGCCGUGCUUGAGGACUGGAGAGGAGACUGGAAUUUACGGUGUAGCGGUGAAAUGCGUAGAUAUCGUAAGGAAGACCAGUGGCGAAGGCGGGUUGCUGGGCCGACACUGACGCUGAGGCACGAAGGCCAGGGGAGCAAACGGG